ACAGCAGCCGCCGCGAUAAUACGGAGGGUGCAAGCGUUAAUCGGAAUUACUGGGCGUAAAGCGUGCGUAGGCGGUUUGUUAAGUCUGUUGUGAAAGCCCUGGGCUCAACCUGGGAAUGGCAAUGGAUACUGGCGAGCUAGAGUGUGUCAGAGGAUGGUGGAAUUCCCAGUGUAGAGGUGAAAUUCGUAGAUAUUGGGAAGAACACCGGUGGCGAAGGCGGCGACCUGGUCCUUGACUGACGCUGAGGCGCGAAAGCGUGGGGAGCAAACAGGAUUAGAUACCCCGGUAGUCCCUGUCUCUUAUAC
rnacentral:rRNA from 1 species